rnacentral:tRNA from 1 species
UCCUUCGUGGUGUAGUGGUCAGCACGCUCGACGCGUAACCGAGAGGUCCGUGGUUCGAUUCCCGAUGAAGGCG